GCCUGGGUGGCUCAGUCGGUCAAGUGUCUGACUUCGGCUCAGGUCAUGAUCUCCCCGUUCGUGGGUUCGAGCCCCGCAUUGGGCU
rnacentral:tRNA from 1 species